UACGUAGGGGGCAAGCGUUGUCCGGAAUUACUGGGCGUAAAGGGCGCGUAGGCGGCAUGGCAAGUCAGGAGUGAAAGGCCUGGGCUCAACCGAGGAACUGCUUUUGAUACUGCCAAGCUAGAGUGCGGAAGGGGCAACUGGAAUUCCCAGUGUAGCGGUGAAAUGCGUAGAUAUUGGGAAGAACACCUGAGGCGAAGGCGGGUUGCUGGGCCGACACUGACGCUGAGGCGCGAAAGCCAGGGGAGCAAACGGG
rnacentral:rRNA from 1 species